CCUACGGGUGGCAGCAGUGGGGAAUAUUGCACAAUGGGGGAAACUCUGAUGCAGCGACGCCGCGUGAGCGAUGAAGUAUUUCGGUAUGUAAAGCUCUAUCAGCAGGGAAGAAAAUGACGGUACCUGACUAAGAAUCCCCGGCUAACUACGUGCCAGCAGCCGCGGUCAUACGUAGGGGGCAAGCGUUAUCCGGAUUUACUGGGUGUAAAGGGAGCGUAGACGGUUGCGCAAGUCAGAUGUGAAAGCCGGGGGCUCAACCGCGGGACUGCAUUUGAAACUGGAAGGCUGGAGUGCAGGAGAGGAAGGCGGAAGUCCUAGUGUAGCGGUGAAAUGCGUAGAUAUUAGGAGGAACACCAGUGGCGAAGGCGGCUUGCUGGACUGUGACUGACGUUGAGGCUCGAAAGCGUGGGGAGCAAACAGGAUUAGAUACCCCUGUAGUC
rnacentral:rRNA from 1 species